GAAUAUUGGACAAUGGGCGAAAGCCUGAUCCAGCCAUGCCGCGUGUGUGAAGAAGGUCUUCGGAUUGUAAAGCACUUUAAGUUGGGAGGAAGGGUUGUAACCUAAUACGUUGCAAUUUUGACGUUACCGACAGAAUAAGCACCGGCUAACUUCGUGCCAGCCGCCGCGGUAAUACGAAGGGUGCAAGCGUUAAUCGGAAUUACUGGGCGUAAAGCGCGCGUAGGUGGUUUGUUAAGUUGGAAGUGAAAGCCCCGGGCUCAACCUGGGAACUGCUUUCAAAACUGGCAAGCUAGAGUAUGGCAGAGGGUGGUGGAAUUUCCUGUGUAGCGGUGAAAUGCGUAGAUAUAGGAAGGAACACCAGUGGCGAAGGCGACUUUCUGGGCUGUAACUGACGCUGAGGCGCGAAAGCGUGGGGAGCAAACAG
rnacentral:rRNA from 1 species